GAUGAACGCUGGCGGCGUGCCUAAUACAUGCGAGUCGAGCGAACAGAUGAGGAGCUUGCUCCUCUGACGUUAGCGGCGGACGGGUGAGUAACACGUGGAUAACCUACCUAUAAGACUGGGAUAACUUCGGGAAACCGGAGCUAAUACCGGAUAAUAUAUUGAACCGCAUGGUUUAAUAGUGAAAGACGGUUUUGCUGUCACUUAUAGAUGGAUCCGCGCCGCAUUAGCUAGUUGGUAAGGUAACGGCUUACCAAGGCAACGAUGCGUAGCCGACCUGAGAGGGUGAUCGGCCACACUGGAACUGAGACACGGUCCAGACUCCUACGGGAGGCAGCAGUAGGGAAUCUUCCGCAAUGGGCGAAAGCCUGACGGAGCAACGCCGCGUGAGUGAUGAAGGUCUUCGGAUCGUAAAACUCUGUUAUUAGGGAAGAACAAAUGUGUAAGUAACUAUGCACGUCUUGACGGUACCUAAUCAGAAAGCCACGGCUAACUACGUG
rnacentral:rRNA from 1 species